AUUGAACGCUGGCGGCAGGCUUAACACAUGCAAGUCGAGCGGAGAUGAGGUGCUUGCACCUUAUCUUAGCGGCGGACGGGUGAGUAAUGCUUAGGAAUCUGCCUAUUAGUGGGGGACAACAUUCCGAAAGGAAUGCUAAUACCGCAUACGUCCUACGGGAGAAAGCAGGGGAUCUUCGGCCCUUGCGCUAAUAGAUGAGCCUAAGUCGGAUUAGCUAGUUGGUGGGGUAAAGGCCUACCAAGGCGACGAUCUGUAGCGGGUCUGAGAGGAUGAUCCGCCACACUGGGACUGAGACACGGCCCAGACUCCUACGGGAGGCAGCAGUGGGGAAUAUUGGACAAUGGGGGGAACCCUGAUCCAGCCAUGCCGCGUGUGUGAAGAAGGCCUUAUGGUUGUAAAGCACUUUAAGCGAGGAGGAGGCUACUGAGACUAAUACUCUUGGAUAGUGGACGUUGCUCGCAGAAUAAGCACCGGCUAACUCUGUGCCAGCCGCCGCAGUAAGAC
rnacentral:rRNA from 1 species